GCAGGGAAUCUUGCGCAAUGGGCGAAAGCCUGACGCAGCAACGCCGCGUGGGUGACGAAGGCCUUCGGGUCGUAAAGCCCUUUUCUGGGGGACGAAGAUCUGACGGUACCCCAGGAAGAAGCCACGGCUAACUACGUGCCAGCAGCCGCGGUAAUACGUAGGUGGCAAGCGUUGUCCGGAGUUAUUGGGCGUAAAGCGCGCGCAGGCGGUUCGGUAAGUCUAUGGUGAAAGCGCUCGGCUUAACUGGGCGAGGGCCGUGGAGACUGCCGAGCUGGAGGGGAGCAGAGGCGAGUGGAAUUCCGGGUGUAGUGGUGAAAUGCGUAGAGAUCCGGAGGAACACCAGUGGCGAAGGCGGCUCGCUGGGCUUUACCUGACGCUGAGGCGCGAAAGCGUGGGGAGCGAACCGGAUUAGAAACCCGUGUAGUCC
rnacentral:rRNA from 1 species